GCACCGGUAGCUCAGGUGGAUAGAGCGGCGCCCUCCUAAGGCGUAGGCCAGGGGUUCGAAUCCUCUUCGGUGCACCA
rnacentral:tRNA from 1 species